UACGUAGGGUGCAAGCGUUGUCCGGAAUUAUUGGGCGUAAAGAGCUCGUAGGCGGUUUGUCGCGUCUGCUGUGAAAACUGGGGGCUCAACCCCCAGCCUGCAGUGGGUACGGGCAGACUAGAGUGCGGUAGGGGAGAUUGGAAUUCCUGGUGUAGCGGUGGAACGCGCAGAUAUCAGGAGGAACACCGAUGGCGAAGGCAGAUCUCUGGGCCGUAACUGACGCUGAGGAGCGAAAGCAUGGGGAGCGAACAGG
rnacentral:rRNA from 1 species